rnacentral:rRNA from 1 species
CACCGCGGUUAUACGAGAGGCCCAAGUCAAUAGUCCCCGGCGUAAAGGGUGGUUAGGAUUACCUUUAAACUAAAGCCCCACAUUUCCAAAGCUGUUAUACGCACCCGGAAAAUGGAUGACCCCCUACGAAAGUGGCUUUAAAAACACUGAACCCACGAAAGCUACAAAA